AGUGAACGCUGGCGGUAGGCCUAACACAUGCAAGUCGAACGGCAGCACAGUAAGAGCUUGCUCUUACGGGUGGCGAGUGGCGGACGGGUGAGGAAUACAUCGGAAUCUACUUUUUCGUGGGGGAUAACGUAGGGAAACUUACGCUAAUACCGCAUACGACCUACGGGUGAAAGCAGGGGAUCUUCGGACCUUGCGCGAUUGAAUGAGCCGAUGUCGGAUUAGCUAGUUGGCGGGGUAAAGGCCCACCAAGGCGACGAUCCGUAGCUGGUCUGAGAGGAUGAUCAGCCCCACUUGAACUUGGGCACGGUCCCGACUCCUACCGGAGGGCGGAGGGGGGGAUAUUGGGCAAUUGGCGGAAGCCUUAUCCAAGCCUACCGCGUGGGGUAAGGAGGCCUUCCGGUUUUUAAGCCCUUUUGUUGGGAAAGAAAAGCAGCAGGUUAAUACCCCGCUGUUCUGACGGUACCCAAAGAAUAAGCACCGGCUAACUUCGUG
rnacentral:rRNA from 1 species